GAGGUUUCCAAAGCACAUACACUACAUUUGAAGCCACACAGAGAAUAAUAGCAUGGCUCCUGCCCAAGGAUGACAUGAGAUCAGCUAACAUCCUUAAGAACAAAAUUGGU